UAGGGAAUAUUGCACAAUGGGCGAAAGCCUGGUGCAGCAACGCCGCGUGUGUGAUGAAGGCCUUCGGGUCGUAAGGCACUUUUCUGGGAGAUGAGAAAGGACAGUAUCCCAGGAUAAGUCUCGGCUAACUACGUGCCAGCAGCCGCGGUAAAACGUAGGAGGCGAGCGUUAUCCGGAUUCACUGGGCGUAAAGCGCGUGCAGGUGGCGCGGUAAGUUGGGCGUGAAAUCUCCCGGCUCAACUGGGAGAGGUCGUCCAAUACUACCGUGCUUGAGAGCAGAAGAGGAAGAUGGAAUUCCCGGUGUAGUGGUGAAUGCGUAGAUAUCGGGAGGAACACCAGUGGCGAAGGCGAUCUUCUGGUCUGUUUCUGACACUCAGACGCGACAGCUAGGGUAGUAAACGGGAUUAGGAGACCCCGGUAAUCCUAGCCGUAAACGAUGUGAACUUGGCGUUGGUGGGUUAAACUCCAUCA
rnacentral:rRNA from 1 species